UGAUCCCCCCACCUCGGCCUCCCAAAGUGCUGGGAUUACAGGCAUGAGCCACUGUGCCCAGCCCAGAAAGUAUUUUUUUAAAUUGAAAAUAAGACAGUAUACUCCACAAAUCUUCUACCGGCUCCAUUGUGGAUUGAAUUAGAUGAUUCUCCCUAUUGUUUGCUAUGUGUCCAGUUUUUCUGGGCACUCUCCACUUCCCGAGGACACUGCCUAUCUCCCCAACCCAGGGCCAUUUCUCAACCUACUUCUCCUUCUCCUACUACAGGGGGCGGACUUCCCAACAUGAGCACCUACAUUUCGCCGUGGAUGGGAUCCACUUGUACUCUCUGAGGUGCUCAGGCAGAUUCCUUCCUUACGGAAGGGGGUCUGAUACUUAAUCACCCCAUGCGCUAAGUACACACAUCAUGUGCGAUCCAUCAGGAUAACCCCACACAACCUGCCAGUUCUUUCCUUGUAGUGGGUGCCCAAUAAAUGUCUGAAUGCAUAAAGAAAGCACUCAGAUAAACAGAGACAUUUGAGAGCUCUCUGGGGAUGAGAAAAGAGAGAGCUAUGGGAGUGAGAAUUAACUUGAUUGACUAUGGCUGGACCUGGCAAAGAACAACUCAGAAAACUCAGAAGUAUUGGCCUCGCAAUUACCUUGUUCAGGCUGCUUAAUCAAUAUUAAAAGUUUGCUGCUCCCACACAAUUUUGCCAAGCUCUCCAACCCUGUGAGGAUGUCAACAGUUGAAAAGGAAGAAAUAAUAAGCCCAGCCUGUAUUUGCAGGGGAGUGUUAAAACUGCCAGUGGAGCAGGAUAGUUUGCUAAACAGCCAGUUAAGAACUUUCCCAAACUGGUCAGCAGCAUUGCACACAGAAGUCCCUUUUUUCGUUGACA
rnacentral:sRNA from 1 species